GAAGCACGCCAGACCGUCGCUGGUGCAAUCUCCGAAAGGAGGCACUGGAGGAACGUCCGGACUGCACAGGACAGCGUAGGAGGUAACACCUCUCCACCGUGAGGUGAGGAUCAGAGCAACAGAGACGAGCCGAUUGAGUUCGGGUGAAACGGGCAAUCUCUACGCGCAGCAAUACCAAGUAGGCCUUCCUGAAGGAGCGCGGUUCGCCGUAUUCUUUCUCCCUGUGGUUCCGCGGGGUGAGUUGGCGGGUAGGUAGCACCGAGCCGGGUGGGCAACCCCCGGCCCAGAGUAAUGGCGGUCACGCAGCGGGCAACCGCUGUGCACAGAAUCCGGCUUAUCGGCGGGCUUCACAC
rfam:Limnohabitans sp. 63ED37-2, complete genome.